GUCAUAGCUGCUCUAGACUGAUUGGGUAGGUUGCUCGUUAAGCUGCUGAUCUUACUUAAACAUUUGCCGAUCCAACUUGGAAGUUUGAUCUUCUCGUAUUCUUUAUUUGGUACUUCAAUUUCCCGCAUACCAUUGAAAAUUAUCAUUUCUUUUUUUUUUUUUUUUUUUUUAAAAAAAUUCCCUUUUACUCCAUUGAAGAUGAUAAAAUGUCAUUGUUAAUUAAGCCAAAUACCUGUAUAGGGAAGAGGCAAUAUUAUGUGUUUGCUGCAAUUAUCAGGUUCACUAUUUGAAUUUUAGCGGAAUCAUGGCCAUAUUUGAGCGAAGUAGAUCUCGAAUAUGGUUGCACUUGAUAUUUUACCUUUUUGCAGACCUGGCCAGGCAAGGAGUUUUGAAACCCGAGGCUGAGGAUGUUUAUUAUAAUUUUGUCCACUUGUGUCUUUGAUUUUUCUCUACAUUUUAGCGCAGAUGUUGGAAAUUUGUUUUGGAGUUGUCUUGAAG
rnacentral:misc_RNA from 1 species